CGGGAUGUAGCGCAGUUUGGUUAGCGUGCCUGUUUUGGGAACAGGAGGCCACGGGUUCAAAUCCCGUCUUCCCGA
rnacentral:tRNA from 1 species